UACGAAGGGGGCGAGCGUUGUUCGGAUUUACUGGGCGUAAAGGGCGCGCAGGCGGCUUUGUUUGUCAGACGUGAAAGCCCCGGGCUUAACCUGGGAACUGCGUUUGAUACGGCAGGGCUAGAGUUCGGGAGAGGAGAGUGGAAUUCCCAGUGUAGAGGUGAAAUUCGUAGAUAUUGGGAAGAACACCGGUGGCGAAGGCGGCUCUCUGGACCGAUACUGACGCUGAGGCGCGAAAGCGUGGGGAGCAAACAGG
rnacentral:rRNA from 1 species